CACCUGUUUAUCAAAAACAUAGCUUUUUGAUUAUAAUUUAAGGUUAUUUCUGCCCUAUGAAAUUUUUAAAUGGCUGCAGUAUAUUGACUGUGCUAAGGUAGCAUAAUCAAUUGUUUCUUAAUUAGAAACUUGAAUGAAGGAAAAGAUGAGAUUUUAACUGUCUUAAUUUAAGAUUUAUAAAUUAUUUUUUAAGUAAGAAAACUUAAAUAAUAUUAUGGGACGAGAAGACCCUAUAGAAUUUUAUAUAAUUUUUAUUAAAUAUUUUUUAUUUAUUUAUUAAAAUAAGUUAUAUUUAGUUGGGAGGAUUAUUAAAUAACUAUAACUUUAAUUGAAAUAAGUCAUUAAUUAGUGGUUUAAGGAAUGAUUAUUAGGUUAUAAUUAAGGAAGAAUUAAUUACCUUAGGGAUAACAGCGUAAUAUUUUUAGAGAGAUCAUAUUAAUAAAAAUGGUUGCGACCUCGAUGUUGAAUUAAGAUAAAAAUUAGGUGUAGAAGUUUAAUAUUUAGGUCUGUUCGACCUUUAAAAUCUUACAUGAUUUGAGUUCAAAUCGACG
rnacentral:rRNA from 1 species